CUUGUCACACGCAGUCAAGAACCUUGCAAAAGUGCGCAUGCUCUUCUGUUUCCUUUUCUCAGUCUUUGAGCUAUUACCCCUGCAUCCUGAAUUGCCUCUCUGAGGAGAGGCGCCCUGCACUGCUACUGACCUGCACUUUCAACAGCUGAUAUCUUUAAAGGAAACAUUGUAAAGCACCCCCGUCACCCCAUCCACACGUGCCUCUUCGGGUGGCAGGAGGCUCGAGUGACGACUCAGAAAUCCUUUUGGGCGCGUUUCUCGGUUGUGUCCCCAUCUUCAUUUACCUGGCGCUGGCGAGAGAGCGAGCAAGCCAGCCAGCCAGCACCGUCUCCCGGGUACCGCGGCCCCGCCCACGCGGCUCCACAGCGCUCCCUCGUGGCGGCCGCCUGCGCAU
rnacentral:lncRNA from 1 species